rnacentral:rRNA from 1 species
GCAAGUCGAGCGAGCUUGCCUAGAUGAAUUUGGUGCUUGCACCAAAUGAAACUAGAUACAAGCGAGCGGCGGACGGGUGAGUAACACGUGGGUAACCUGCCCAAGAGACUGGGAUAACACCUGGAAACAGAUGCUAAUACCGGAUAACAACACUAGACGCAUGUCUAGAGUUUAAAAGAUGGUUCUGCUAUCACUCUUGGAUGGACCUGCGGUGCAUUAGCUAGUUGGUAAGGUAACGGCUUACCAAGGCAAUGAUGCAUAGCCGAGUUGAGAGACUGAUCGGCCACAUUGGGACUGAGACACGGCCCAAACUCCUACGGGAGGCAGCAGUAGGGAAUCUUCCACAACGGACGCAAGUCUGAUGGAGCAACGCCGCGUGAGUGAAGAAGGGUUUCGGCUCGUAAAGCUCUGUUGGUAGUGAAGAAAGAUAGAGGUAGUAACUGGCCUUUAUUUGACGGUAAUUACUUAGAAAGUCACGGCUAACUACGUGCCAGCAGCCGCGGUAAUACGUAGGUGGCAAGCGUUGUCCGGAUUUAUUGGGCGUAAAGCGAGUGCAGGCGGUUCAAUAAGUCUGAUGUGAAAGCCUUCGGCUCAACCGGAGAAUUGCAUCAGAAACUGUUGAACUUGAGUGCAGAAGAGGAGAGUGGAACUCCAUGUGUAGCGGUGGAAUGCGUAGAUAUAUGGAAGAACACCAGUGGCGAAGGCGGCUCUCUG